rnacentral:rRNA from 1 species
AUCCGGGUUGCGGACAGUGUCUGGUGGGUAGUUUGACUGGGGCGGUCUCCUCCCAAAGAGUAACGGAGGAGCACGAAGGUUAGCUAAUCCUGGUCGGACAUCAGGAGGUUAGUGCAAUGGCAUAAGCUAGCUUGACUGCGAGAGUGACGGCUCGAGCAGGUGCGAAAGCAGGUCAUAGUGAUCCGGUGGUUCUGAAUGGAAGGGCCAUCGCUCAACGGAUAAAAGGUACUCCGGGGAUAACAGGCUGAUACCGCCCAAGAGUUCAUAUCGACGGCGGUGUUUGGCACCUCGAUGUCGGCUCAUCACAUCCUGGGGCUGAAGUAGGUCCCAAGGGUAUGGCUGUUCGCCAUUUAAAGUGGUACGCGAGCUGGGUUUAGAACGUCGUGAGACAGUUCGGUCCCUAUCUGCCGUGGGCGCUGGAGAAUUGAGGGGGGCUGCUCCUAGUACGAGAGGACCGGAGUGGACGCAUCACUGGUGUUCGGGUUGUCAUGCCAAUGGCACUGCCCGGUAGCUAAAUGCGGAAAAGAUAAGUGCUGAAAGCAUCUAAGCACGAAACUUGCCCCGAGAUGAGUUCUCCCUGAGACUUUAAGUCUCCUGAAGGAACGUUGAAGACGACGACGUUGAUAGGUCGGGUGUGUAAGCGCAGCGAUGCGUUGAGCUAACCGAUACUAAUGAACCGUGAGGCUUAACCUU